rnacentral:rRNA from 1 species
GAUGAACGCUAGCUACAGGCUUAACACAUGCAAGUCGAGGGGUAACAAGAGAAAAGCUUGCUUUUCUUGUUGACGACCGGCGCACGGGUGAGUAACGCGUAUCCAACCUGCCUAUAACUAGGGAAUAACCUUGCGAAAGUAAGACUAAUACCCUAUGAUUUCCUUUGAUGACAUCAGAUUAGGAAUAAAGAUUUAUCGGUUAUAGAUGGGGAUGCGUCUGAUUAGCUUGUUGGCGGGGUAACGGCCCACCAAGGCAACGAUCAGUAGGGGUUCUGAGAGGAAGGUCCCCCACAUUGGAACUGAGACACGGUCCAAGCUCCUACGGGAGGCAGCAGUGAGGAAUAUUGGUCAAUGGGCUGAAGCCUGAACCAGCCAAGUAGCGUGCAGGAUGACGGCCCUAUGGGUUGUAAACUGCCUUUAUACAGGAAUAAAGUUAGCCACGUGUGGUUAUUUGUAGGUACUGUAUGAAUAAGGACCGGCUAAUUCCGUGCCAGCAGCCGCCGCCG